GUAUGUACACAACACUUUAUCCGUGUACAUACACACAAUAGGAGUAGGAGUUCAAGAUCUUCUUUCUCAUUACAAAAUUCAUCUUCUUCCUCUUGUUUAACUGUAAUACUUUAUUUGCAACUAAACACUAGUCUUGCAUCCUACUUAAGGGAGGGUUCUCGAGCCCACAGGGAAACUUGUUUUGCAAAUAUUAUAGAUGUCCAUGCCCAACUUUAUCAACAGCUAACCUCAUCCGUCCUGGAAUAACGUUUGCAGUGGAGAUUUUCAAAAACUUCAUCGGCAUAGUUCUAAAUUAAAUCCCAUUCAAGACCAAGAUGAGCGAUGUUAAGCUUGGAGGCAAAAGAUCUACACCAGGAGGCAUAUCUUUCUCAAUGAAGGAGCAUGAGAAAUCAUUCUCAUCAAGAAAUGCUCCAAUUGGAUCUUGAUCACCCCCAAAGAAUUCUUCAAAGUUGCAAAAUGUUUUAUCCACAUCAGGAUUCUCCAGGCAAAGCAUUUGCGGCAGUUGAAAAGAAAGGUAAAUGUUCUGGCUGAGAAAAUGGCAAAGGCAAAGAAUCCACUUUUAGACCCUGACGUUGGCAGUCAGCUUGUUGAAGAUUGGUAACAAGAUCUUGAGAAUGUUGUGAAUGAUUGAGAUUGUAGUCAAGCUUCUUUGAGGUAUUCAGCAUUGAAGAAAUGUUUUUUUGUUCUUGACCACGUUUCAUAGGAGUAUUGUUGUUGACAUCAGUGAGCUGAAGCCUUUUCAAAUCAAGAAUCUGUUCCAGAAUAAAGCAGGUACUUUCCUGCUGUGGACCUUUGUACGAUAACUGAAAGAUGAUGAAAAAGACUGAGAAUGCAAACUAGAAAGGGUUUCGAGUCUUCAAAGGGAAAGAAAGAAAAAUUACUGCAUAGUUCUUUGUUUGUUCCUUAAUAGUGAAUCUAAAAGACCAUUUUUAUGGUUGAAAUAGCGGGUUACAAAAAUCAUAUUCCAUUGAUGCAAAGUAAAUAAUGUAAAUAGCAGGUAGCUCUGUGUUAAACUUCAUAUACAAAGUUGUUGUAUUAACUUGUAAUAUUUCAUAUACAAGACAUUAAAUAUUAUCCUAGUUGCAACUGCUUUGAUUAA